rnacentral:misc_RNA from 1 species
CAGCUGUAUUGACUUGGGAACUGAGACUUCAGAUAGGAAUUGACACAGCACAAGCAUUGGAAUAUCUGCAUGAUGGCUGCAAGCCGCCCAUCAUCCACAGGGAUGUCAAGACUGCUAACAUCUUAUUGAAUGAGAAAUUGCAAGCAAAAGUUGCAGAUUUUGGCUUGUGUCGAUUCCUGCCAUUGGAAUCUGGAACCCAUGUAUCAACUGCAGUUGUUGGCACACGCGGAUAUCUUGAUCCUGAGUAUUACAUAUCCAAUCGGUUGAACGAGAAAAGUGAUGUCUAUAGUUUUGGGAUUGUGCUCCUGGAGCUUAUUUCAGGGCAGCCUGCCAUACUCAAGAACCAUGACAAUACUCACAUAGUUCAAUGGGUUAAUCCUAUGCUUGGAAG